CAGAGAGAGAGAGAGAGAGAGAGAGAGAGAGAGAGGAGGCGAAGAGAGAUGAUAUACCGGAAGUGAUAUGGGGAGGCAUCGCCACUGCCAGCGUCGCCGGAUUCUUCGUCUUCGGAUGUAAGGCUAUCAGCAUGGCAAACAUUUCUACAAGUUAUUGAGAAGUUUCAAGAGUAUCUGUGCCCUGAGAGUGAAGGGCUGUGACUGCAGGACAGGGCCAUCGUUGAAUCAAACAGAGCCAGAAUGAGUUGAAAAGAGACAUGAAGUUAAGAUGUGCAGCACUUGGAUGAUGCUUUCUUUCUUUUGUCCCACUGUGUGAAGUUUCAAGCUAAAGAUUAUUUGAAGCUUCAGAAAACAAGUCCGACUUGUAGAUUUGUAAUUUGAAGCUUCAGAUGUUUUUGAUUUGUCACACUUGUCUUUGCCACCUGACACUUUGGCUCAUUUUCCUUAAUUUUUCAUAAAUUCAUUAUAUGUUUUCA